AUUGAACGCUGGCGGCAGGCUUAACACAUGCAAGUCGAGCGGGGUGAUGGUGCUUGCACUAUCACUUAGCGGCGGACGGGUGAGUAAUGCUUAGGAAUCUGCCUAUUAGUGGGGGACAACAUCUCGAAAGGGAUGCUAAUACCGCAUACGUCCUACGGGAGAAAGCAGGGGAUCACUUGUGACCUUGCGCUAAUAGAUGAGCCUAAGUCGGAUUAGCUAGUUGGUGGGGUAAAGGCCUACCAAGGCGACGAUCUGUAGCGGGUCUGAGAGGAUGAUCCGCCACACUGGGACUGAGACACGGCCCCGACUCCUACGGGAGGCAGGAGUGGGGAAUAUUGGACAAUGGGGGGGACCCUGAUCCAGCCAUGCCGCGUGUGUGAAGAAGGCCUUAUGGUUGUAAAGCACUUUAAGCGAGGAGGAGGCUCUUUUGGUUAACACCCAAGAUGAGUGGACGUUACUCGCAGAAUAAGCACCGGCUAACUCUGUGCCAGCCGCCGCCGUAA
rnacentral:rRNA from 1 species